CGGAAUGUAGCGCAGCCUGGUAGCGCACUGCAUGGGGUGCAAGGGGUCGCAGUUCGAAUCCGCCAUUCCGACCA
rnacentral:tRNA from 1 species